AUCUGCAGGCUGGAUAGCCUGUCUGCUCUCGCGGGAAGAUGUCAGGUGGUAGUGCGAGAGCCUGAGACUUAGCUGGAGCUACUGCAAGCUACAGGAGGAUGUUUGUAGUGUGGAACCAACUGGGGAUUUAGAAGCUGGACUAUGAUGCAGGCUUCAUCAUCCUUUUUAGAAUGUACAUAUUCUAUGGAUGCAAACUAAACACAUUAUUUGGAUGUUAUGAUCUCCAAGAGUGCAGAUGAUACUUUCAACACUGCUAUCUAUCACAAACCGUCAUUCUGCAAUACCUUUCUGCACAUUCAAAGCAGCCACCCUUUACAUCAGAAAAAGCUGAAAAGGAGAUUAACUACAAUCAAGAUCAAGAGAAGAGACGACUAAAAGACUUACUGAGGGUGCUCGAGUAUGCCAAAACAAAUAAUUAUUUACAUUUAUGAAAUAAAUUAAAAAAAAUUAAAUAUUAAUGAAGUUUU